rnacentral:lncRNA from 1 species
CCUGUCCAGCGUGUCCUGUGCACUCUCAGACCUACACUUCCCCUGCCCCAAGGAGCUGGAGACUGCAUUUAGCAAGACCUCCCGCACCAGAGGCCACCUGAGGUGAUGGGCAUGCGCAGAAAAGUUGGGAAGCACCCAUCGCAACUGCAAGGUGCUCCAAGCCGGGGCCCCUGUCAUCAGAGGCGUGAUGAAUACCUCCCCCAGGAGCUCACUAUCAGCGGCCAGGCCACCACCCUAUCUUUGGACAAGCGUGUGUGUUUGUGUCUCUGUGUGUCCUCAGUGGCCGUUCACGAAGGUCUCCAUGGAAAGGCUCAUACGAAGACGUUGAUUUGAAGGCACUCCCAGGGAACCUGGCCUCGCCUGAGCACCCACUUUGUGCCAGCCCUUGCACCCAGGUGUUCCACGUUUUCAUUAUAUUGUCUCAUCCUCCCCACAGCCCUGCAGGGUGCAUUACAGCCCCUUUUUACAGUUGCUGAAAUCGGACUCUACCUGUAGCUCAGUCUCAAAAUG